rnacentral:rRNA from 1 species
ACGCUCGACACCUACGGGAGCAGCAGUUGGGAAUAUUGGACAAUGGAGGAAACUCUGAUCCAGUGACGCCGCGUGAAGGAAGAAGGUCUUCGGAUUGUAAACUUAUUUUGUCAGGGAAGAAAAAAUGACUGUACCUGAAGAAAAAGCACCGGCUAACUACGUGCCCGCAGCCGCGGUAAUCUGAGCGGGCUGGCAAGGC